GUAUAAAUAGACCCCAUGGCUGAUGGAAUUCGACACUUGACCUAAAGUAAGGAACCUCUGGUCGAAAUUCCUUCCCUCUCCUCUCUCCCAAAUCAUCCUCCUUGCUUUGGUGUUUGUAAGCCAUUAGAGGAGUGACAUUUGUGACUCUAGAAGCUCCAAGACCUCAAGAUCAACAAGGAACUCAAAGGUAUGAUUCUAGAUCUGUUUCAAUGUUGUUAUUUAACCUAAUUAGUAAUUAGAAGUCUUGGAUUCAAAGCAUGUUUAUUAGAAAGCCUAGAUCCAAGCAUUAGGGUUUUGCAUGCGCACAUAGGAAAGUUCUUAUGGCUAAAACCCAUCAGUGGUAUCAGAGCCUAGCUUGGUUUUCUUUAAAUUGUUGCUUGAUUAACUGAAACAAACCUGCAAAAUUCGAUUUUUUGGUUUCUGAGUCAUGGACUCGGCGAGUCUCAAAGUGGACUCGGCGAGUAGGCCUGACUCGGCGAGUCCAUUUGUGCACUCGGCGAGUCCAGGCGUCAGGAAUGGCCAGAUUCGGGAUUUCUUUGUGUUUAUCUUAUCUUAACUUACCAUAAACUAAUUAGAUCAACAUUAAUUCGUUUUUCUGAUAAAUAUAACUAUUAUCUUGAUCUAGUUAAAGGUAAUUAUCAACUAAUUAAAUAUUUAAUUUCCUUAUAUGAUAAUUAAUUAAUUAUUUUGAUUAUUUUGGUAAUUAUCUUAAAAAGAAAUCUUGAAUAAAUCAAAUAUAGAUAAUUAGGAUAUUAAUUGUUAAUUGGAAUUAUUUGUUAUUUGAUCCUCCAUGUUUUAAAUGUUUAAAACCUACCCUCAUGUUUUGAAAUUUACUUUUGUGAUUAAAAGUUUUAAUUUAGACAACUUAAAUUUCAAACCCUAGAUUUUAAAAGUUUUAAAAUACAACCCUAUACUAAUAUGAUAUUACUAGAAUAAUAUAUAUAUGUAUAACUAAAUGCUAGUCUUACCGUUAGUAGGCCUCAUUCACGAAGCCGAUCUAUAAGGUGGGUAUAAGGUUGCGGCCUAUAAAAUGGCGCUUAAUGGGUGUACACUCACACCCACCGCUUGCUUGAUUGGUGGAGGGUCGUUAGCCGAACGGGUAGGAUAGGGCAACCUCAUCCUCUCAUUAAAAGUAUAAUAAGAAAUACAAAGUAACUACACAUAUUUUAAAAUUUCCCAAUCCUAGUUACUUUAGGAAAAGUGAAUUGAUGCAAUCCCAUGAAAUUACACUUUGCACCUUGCUAAGAUGUUAGUGGAGCGUGUGUGGUUUACCGGCACACUAAUUGGUUCUAAGCGAAGGUGGCAAAGGGUGAUUCAUUGUUUAUCAUAGUUCGAUGGAGCGUGUGUGGUUUACCGGCACAUCGAAUAGGUGAUCGUUACAAUGAAGGCACCAUGUGAAUUUGCAUGGUAAUUCACACCCGCUUUGUGAUCCUCGGCAUCCCAGUCACAAACAAGAGGGGCAUAUCGAGAUUUAAACAUGCCAUUGAAUAGUUUCAAUGAAUCUCAUCCGAACCUAGGAAUUCUCAAAAACACUUAGGACUAAUAGUUUAAGUUUUGUGAUGGAGAAUUAGUGAAUCGUCAUUCACUUACCUUCAAUUUAUUUGCAUGUUAGAUUACGGCAUCCCUUUUCUAGUAUGUAAAUGUUAUUGUUGGAUCCUAGCCCUAAUUUUCUUAUUGGGUGAUAAUUAGGGAUUCUUAUUCUAAUCUAUCUUUGUCCUUUUCUAAUUGUAGAUGUCGAACGCAAACAACGCUGCUGCUAGUUCUUUCACGUUGAUGAGCCUUUGCCAAAAGGUCACCUUCGAUGGAACGAACUUUAGCGAAUGGAUAAGAUACAUUCGCACCAUUGCUCGCUAUGAGGAUAAGGAGUAUGUCCUCGAUGAGAAGCUCGAGAAAAUCAACCCCGAAAUCGCUACUCCGGCCGAAAUCACCGCUUUUGAGACUCAUGAGCGAGAUGCAACGAAGGUACAUUGCAUCAUGAUUGCCACCAUGAACUCCGAAUUCCAAAAGUCCUACGAGGACAUGUACCCGUACGAGAUGCACCAAGACUUAUUGGAGAGGUACCACCAAAACGCGAGACAAGAGAGGUACGAGAUUUUCACUAACAUGAUUUCCGCGAAGAUGGGUCAUGGAGAAUCUCUUACCGUGCACUUGCAAAAGAUGCAAAGGUAUGUCGACCGCCUUCGCAAGUUAAAUGUUGACUUCGGUGAGGAUUUGGCGAUCGACAUGGUGCUUCACUCUUUGCCUCCGAUGUACAAUCAAUUUAGGAUGACCUACCACAUGAACAAAGAAGAGGUCACCCUAAGCAAGCUCCAAGGUCUCUUGAGGGUUGCUGAGAGCAACUUCAAAGACAAGUCUGUUGCACCUACUCCCAAUCCGCCCGCUGCUCCUGUCUUGGCUAUUGGACAAGGGAAGGGAAAGAAGAGGAAAGCUUCAUCGAAGAACUAUCGCAAGGUGAAAGCCCGAGAUGGUGCCUCUUCUAGUGGGACCAAAGUUGAUCCCGCUAAGCCCUGCUCUAACCCGAAGGAGGCAGAGUGCCACCACUGCCACAAGAUAGGACAUUGGAAGAGAAGCUGCCCGGAUUACCUGCAAGCAAUCAAAGAAGGAAAGAUCAAGCCAUCUUUCGCAGGUAUAUAUACAAUCAAAUCUAACGAUUCUAAUCAUGCUAUUUCUUGGGUUCUUGAUACCGGUUGUGGUUAUCACAUUUGUUCUAAUGUGCAGGGACUAAGAAGAAGUAGGGAUGUGGAGCAAGGAAGGAUCAAUCUAAUCAUGGGGAACAGAAGAUCGUCGCCUGUGACCAAGAUUGGAGUGUAUUCCUUAGUGCUUAGGAAUAGUUUAGUUUUAGAUUUGAACAAUUGUUGCUAUUCGCCAGAAAUGGCAAGAAACAUCAUUUCAUUUCAUGGUUUAUAUAGACAAGGAUUUAGAUUUUCUUUUAAUAAUGAGAAUGGUUCUAUUUUGGCUUAUCUAAAUGGUGUCUUUUACUUUGAAGCUAUACCAUGUAAUGGAAUAUAUGAAACCGUUAUGAUUGUUGAUAACUUAGGAAAUGAUGUUUUGAAUAUUGAUUCUUCCACUAGUAUGGAUAAAGCAUCCUUGUGGCAUUGUCGUCUUGGACAUGUCAACAAGAAACGCAUAGCCCAACUCCAAAAGGAUGGAGUGUUGGAGUCAUUCGACCUUAGGGAAGAUGACACAUGCGAGUCUUGUUUGCUUGGAAAGAUGACUAAGUCACCCUUCACGAGUACAUGUGAAAGGGGCGAGGGUCUAUUGGACCUAAUACAUACCGAUGUAUGUGGACCGUUUAGAUCAACCACGAAGGAUGGGAACCGCUUCUAUGUGACUUUUACCGAUGACUAUAGUAGAUAUGGGUAUAUCUACUUAAUCAAGCAAAAGUCAGACACCUUUGAAAAGUUCAAAGAGUUCAAGAAUGAAGUGGAGAAUCAAUUGGGCAGGAAAAUCAAGAUGCUUCGAUCCGAUCGAGGAGGAGAGUACCUAAGUCUUGAAUUCCACGAUUAUCUCAAGGAGUGUGGAAUAGUUUCACAAUUGACGCCUCCUAGGACACCGCAGUUGAAUGGUGUGGCAGAAAGGCGUAAUCGAACCUUAUUGGAUAUGGUUCGCUCUAUGAUGAGUCGUGCUUCACUACCAAUCUCUUUUUGGGGGUAUGCCUUAGAGACUGCCGCCCAUAUCCUUAACCGAGUCCCUACUAAGAAGGUUGCCAAAACACCUCACGAGAUGUGGACAGGGAAAGCUCCCUCGUUGGCACAUAUCAAGGUUUGGGGUUGCGAGGCUUUCGUAAGACGAGAUACUCACGACAAGCUUGAACCUCGAAGUGAGCGAUGUAUUUUCAUCGGCUACCCGCAGACAUCCUUUGGAUAUCUCUUCUAUAGACCGAAGGACAAUGUUGUCUUCGUUGCGAGGAGAGGAGUUUUCCGAGAGCGAGAACUCAUAAGCCAAGGAGACAGUGGGAGGCAAAUCGAACUUGAAGAGAUUCAAGAGUCGAUAGAUGAAGGAACCUCUACCGCUGGCACUCAACCCGAGGAGGAAACUCCGGUUGAACCGAUUGACGAAUCCUUACCUCUUAGACGUUCCGAUAGAGUUAGAGUUCAUCCCCAGUUUUAUGGCUUUCAUAUUACUACCGAAGGGGACACGUAUAUUAGUGAUGGUACACUAGUAAAUCUUGAUGAACCUAAUAGCUAUAAGGAAGCCAUGGCAGGCCCGGAGUCUGCAAAAUGGAAAGAGGCAAUGGAUAGCGAGAUCCAAUCCAUGUAUGAUAACCAAGUUUGGAAUUUGGUUGAUUAUGUGCCCGGACGUAAGACCGUUGGGUGCAAAUGGAUCUUCAAGAAGAAGACCGACGUGGAUGGAAACGUACACACAUAUAAAGCGCGAUUGGUUGCGAAGGGCUUUACUCAAACUCCCGGAGUUGACUAUGAUGAGACCUUCUCACCAGUUGCGAAGAUUAAAUCUAUUAGAGUGAUGCUAGCUAUUGCCGCAUUUCAUGAUUAUGAGAUUUGGCAAAUGGAUGUCAAGACCGCUUUCCUUAACGGAAAGUUGGCUGAGGAUGUUUACAUGGCUCAGCCAGAGGGGUUUGUGGAUCCGAAGCAUCCGGAUAGAGUGUGUAAGCUUGAGAAGUCCAUUUAUGGACUUAAGCAAGCGUCUCGCAGAUGGAAUCUUUGCUUCGAUGAGAAAGUCAAAGAGUUUGGAUUUGUACGAAGCGAAGACGAAUCUUGUGUAUAUGUCAAAGCCAGUGGGAGUAUAGUAAGCUUCCUCGUUCUAUAUGUCGAUGACAUAUUACUCAUAGGAAACGACAUCCCGACUCUGCAGGAGGUUAAGUCCUGGCUCGGGAAGUGCUUCGCUAUGAAGGACCUCGGAGAGGCUUCUUACAUUUUGGGAAUAAGGAUAGUAAGAGAAAGAAGUAAGAGACUAAUUGGACUUAGUCAGAAUACUUACUUAGAGAAGGUACUAAAACGUUUUAGUAUGGAAAACUCAAAGAAGGGAGAACUACCGAUACAAAGUAAUGCCAAAUUGAGUAAGACUCAAAGUCCGAGUACCGAAGCUGAGAUAGCAGAAAUGAGCCGAGUACCAUACGCUUCCGCAGUUGGCUCAAUCAUGUACGCUAUGACUUGUACUCGCCCUGAUGUAGCCUUCGCUUUGAGCAUGGUUAGCAGAUAUCAAGGGAAUCCUGGCAAAGCACAUUGGAUUGCGGUGAAGAAUAUCCUUAAGUACCUUCGGAGGACGAAGGAAUGGUUCUUAGUCCUCGGAGGGAGUGAUGACUUGAAGGUGCGAGGGUAUAGUGACGCCAGUUUUCAGACCGACAGGGACAACUACCGUUCGCAGUCGGGCUGGGUCUUUACCCUAAAUGGAGGAGCAGUGACAUGGAAGAGUUCCAAGCAGGAAACCGUAGCUGAUUCAACGUGCGAAUCAGAGUACAUUGCAGCGAGCGAAGCGUCGAAGGAGGCAAUAUGGCUAAAGAACUUCAUCGGUGAUCUUGGAGUUGUACCUGCCAUAAAGGAGCCAAUGGAGAUUUUCUGUGAUAACGAAGGCGCGGUUGCCUUAACCAAGGAACCGAGGGAUCAUGGUAGAUCAAGACAUAUCGACAGAAAGUAUCACUUCAUUAGACAUCGUGUAGAAGAAGGACAACUCGUAGUGAAGAGGAUAUCAUCAGAAGAUAACCCAGCAGAUCCGCUUACGAAGGGACUGAGUAGGGUUAAGCACUUGCAGCAUGCUAGGAGUAUUGGGCUGAAGGAUGAUAUUAGCAUAGAUUAGAUAGUAUUAGAAACGUGUAAUAGAUAAAUGUAAUUAACAUUUGAUGAUUAAAUAAAGGAGUUUUAUUUAUGAGUAAUGUUACUAUCUUAUGUUAAUUGUUUAGCUAUUGUUUCACUUUGCAUGUUUUGACUUCCAGAAUAAUUGAGUUUAUUAGGAAUAAUCGAAUUGUUCAAAUGGUCCACAAUCGUUCAUAUGUUGGGAGUAGAUAUGAAUGAAGAUUGUCAUGAAUUGGUGUGUAGAAUGUCUAAAUGGUGUUAGACAUAGCAAAGGAUUGCUGCAACGUUCAUGAGUGCUUAUGAACUAGUUUUGAGCAUUGGAAUAAACCCGCGCUUGCUGGAAUCACCUUAUGGAAUACGAUAUAAAAGGUGAUCGCAAGACGAUAAUAUCAUAUAGUCUUAAAACCUAGAUAUAUGGUUUAUUAUUUGUUAAUUGAUUGUACAUUGAUAAUACGAAAACGCAUCAGUAACUUGGUGUUAUAAAACGUAUUGUUGUGUAUAGUUGGUAAAUGAAUAAGUAAAUGCAUAUAAGUCGAAGUUUAUCUGUAACUUUUAUCUAAGAAGGUAAAAGCGAUAUCUCGGCCGCUCGAUGAUUUGAUUUGACUUAUGUGCCGGGCCCGGUCAGAACUGAAUUGAUGUGUUCGAUUAAGUUCUAUGUCAAAUAAAUCAGAGAUCGAGAAACCUAAAUGCUUGACUAACCAUUCCAUAGGAUUGUCAGCAUGAUAUCUAACAGAGGACUGUACGUUCCCUUAUCUAAAGGACAAGAUUGAUUAGAUCAGAGUUGACAGCGUCUUUGAGAGCUACGAUUGCAAACCGAAUUGUACUUGUAUAGUUACUAGACUUAUCCAAGUGGGAGACUGUUGGAAUAGUGUCUAAGGCUGUAACUAUAUUAGGCAAGUAUUUGAUCCGGUUGUGCAUGGUCCUUUUGGGUUGCCUUCACCAUAGCAACUUGAUAGGAUGAUUUAUUAAGAGAGAGUAAAUAUUAUUAAUAUAUUAUGAGAAUAAUAUAAUGAAUAAUAUAUUUGUUAUUUGAUUAAUAUAAGUCAUAGAAUUAAUUAGAAUUAAUUUGGUGACUUAAAGAGAUUAAUUAAAUAAAGGGGUAUAAACUGUCAAUUGUUUGAUAGUUAAGCUUUAGACUGUAAAUCCAUUUGGAUAUACUAUGGACGGAUUCUAAGAGGUUUAGGAUAGCUAAAAUCGUCCAUAUGCUUAUCUAGGAAUGGAUUUGGAUAGCCUUAAGAGAAGAUUAUCUGAUAGGGACUUAUCUGUAAUCCUUAAGGAGUCUAUAAGUAUAAAUAGACCCCAUAACAUAAGGAAUUCGUGACUUGACCUAAAGUAAGGAACCUCUGGUCGAAAUUCCUUCCCUCUCCUCUCUCCCAAAUCAUCCUCCUUGCUUUGGUGUUUGUAAGCCAUUAGAGGAGUGACAUUUGUGACUCUAGAAGCUCCAAGACCUCAAGAUCAACAAGGAACUCAAAGGUAUGAUUCUAG
rnacentral:lncRNA from 1 species